rnacentral:tRNA from 1 species
GCCUUCGUGGUGUAGUGGUCAGCAUGCUCGACGCGUAACCGAGAGUUCCGUGGUUCGAUUCCCGGCGACGGCG